AAAGAAAGUGAUAAAAUGUUGCCAUGGGCUUAUAAAAAUAUUUGGCAAUGUACCUCCCAAGAAACAGCAAAGAAACUUAAAAUUUUUUCUACCGAGAAAAUAAAUUGAAGGCUCAGAAAACUAGGAAAUAGAGUGCUUGACCAACUUUCUCCAAAGGAAGGAAUAGAUAUUCAGUUGAUUUACUGUGGUCAAGCGUUGGGAGGAGAAGGUACAACGAGGAGAGGGAUGGGCAAGGACAGGAGAGGUGAAUGCUGGGAAGCUGGACGGCAGGAGGGUGAGAACACACGCAGGGACCGCAGGAGUGGGGGCCCCGGGGAAGAAAGGGACAAAGGGACAGCAGGAUCGUUCGGUCGGACUCGUUUUUCUUAGUGCCCUUGAACGUGCCUCACAGCAAUGAAACCAACGUAAGCUGAGUGACCACGUGUCCAGAAAGAAGGGGACAAUGGAUUUGGUGGGAAAAGCCAUCAGCUAAAUUGCCUUUUGCUGUUUAAAAUGAAACCUCACCAGUUUGUCAAAAAAGCAGCAAAAUUUUGAUGUCUCAUUAAAAGAACUUGGUGAUCUGGGUCAGAUGUGAGAGGUAUCUAGAUUAUUCAGCUUAACCUGCUCUUACUGAGACCUGUUGCUCCUAAGCCACAUGUGUGGAUAUUAACAACGAUCUGUGGGACCACCAGCAUAAAGUCAGCGUCUCUGCAUGGUACUUCUUCCAGUCGUACGAUGUGGGUAUGGAAAUGGAUCAAUAUGUUGUGAGUACUCUACGAAGAGCGUAAGGCGGACUCCCAGUUUCAUUGCUUCCUGGUUAUGCAAGCUUGGGUGAGUUUCCUCUCCUCUCUCAAUUCCACUUUCCUUGUCUGUAAUCUUUCCUCCUCAAAGGCAGGAGUGAAAAUUAGCAGAAAAGCCAUGCACAGUGCUUGGCACGGAGCAGGCAUUCCAGCGUGUUAGCCAGAAUCGUGAAUGCACCUUUCUCAUGCCUUCUGGGAGGUGGAGGCCACUUGCUUCACAAGGCAAGGAGGAGUAAAAUGACCCAAGCAUUUAUGCGGCCUUUAGAGCCACUGGAACGCCUCUCUUGAGGAAGUCUUUGAAGAGGUUAAGAAAGUUUUAAGGCCAUUUCUCUUUAGGGAAAUCUUUGCUUGCCUUUGGAAUUUUCUAACCCUGUCUCUUAGGAUAAACUAGCCUAGGAUAGUCAGGAUGCCGCUAUGGUGACAAACAGUCUCAUUUCUUGCUCAUGCCACCUACCCAUCCCAGGUCUGCCCCGACUGCCCUCCCUCAGGGAGGCAAGCUGACAGGCUUCCACCAUUUGGAGACCCCUGGAGAGGAGAGAGAAUGGGGCAGACUGAACACCAGAACCUAAGGGCUUCGCCCAAAAGUGCAACAUAUUUCCUCUGGCCUCAUUGUAUGAACCAAAGUGAGUCAUGUGGCAACACCUAAUGAUAAGUGGGUGGAGAAGUGCUAUCGAUGCUCCAAAGGCAGAGAACUGGAAAUACUGAUGAGCAUCAGUUAUUAGCACUCAGACAUUAACAAGAAUGCAGGGCAUCUGAACACACCCGUUCCAUUUGACCCAUAAAACAGCACUGAUGCCCGACACCCGCACCACAACCAUGGCAGAACAGAUGGCACUGUUUGAUUCCCAGAAGAAAAUUCAAAACAAGACUCACCAUUUUAUAGUCGAAUUUAAAGCGAUUUUUAGGAAUAGCUUUUUCUAGGAACUAACGAUCAGAUAAAGAUGGAUUUGGGACGUAUAGACUUGUAGCCUGAAGCGGUGGGUGGUCUUAUCUAUAAAUGAAAACCUGCAUGUAAUUUCUCCUAAUAGCAAUUAAGUAUCUAAUACGUAAUUUGUGUCGCUGAGGGGCUGAUAACAAAACCUCAGAGGAAAAGACCACAGAUUGGUGGAGACCAUAUUCCCAUUGUAAGCAUCAGCAGGAUGUUCUUUUUUUUUUUUGGUGAUAACUUUCAUGCCGACAGAUCUGUUGUUAAGGAGACCCCAGGUGUUCUACAUUAUGUUGGCAAAUUGGCCUUUCCUAAGAUCUCUCUUUAAAUAUAUCAUGUAUCCCCAGUGUGUGCACUUUCAAACAAGUGUAGGUUUAGAAGAGCUCACCAGUAGCAUCAGAUGGCCAGUUACCUUUAGCAUAAACUAUGUCCACUGAUAGAAAUAUUGCUGAAUAUCGAGGAAUACGCACAGCAGAAAUGCUAGAAGGAUUGUGGAUAAUGGGAUGGCUAGGAAAGUCCUAUUGCUGGCGGGGUAAAUUUGAAGGAUUAAGAGCAGGACUAGAAAUAUGCAGACAAAACAAACUGAAAUUUGCAAAUAAGAAAUUUGCAACAUUUCCCAGGCUUGUGGUAAUAUAUUCAUUCAUAUAGAGUGUGUUAGUUUGGAAAAGCAAGUCGAUAAUGAAGAUUGGGAUAACAACAUACCUAAAAAUGCUCAGCUUAGCGUCAGGCUCAGAGUGGGUGGUUGUAUUGAUCACAGCCCUGUUGAAUGGAACUGCCGUUGCUGCUUUUGCUGUGCCUUAGAUCUGUCUUGGAAACCUGGGGAAGUCCCAGUCGUUCCAGCAAGGCCCUUGAUAAAAUCUCAGUUUCAGGUCCUCAAGGUGACGCAUCCUUUCGUCACCUUGUGGUGUCUCUAACUAUGUGCCCCUGCCUCUCACAAAGCUGUGAGCAUGUGCAUCCUCUGGGAUGCUAAACGGGCCCUGGCUCCAGCUCUUGGUUUGUGUUCCAGAAUCCUGCUGCCAAGAGUGUGGUCCCCACACUGUGUCAUGUCAGCAUUGUGUCACCCAGGGCUUAUGGGAAACAGACUCUGGGGCUCUAGCCCAGGGCUGUGGUAUGAAAAUCUGCGAAUUCCCAAGAUUUCAGGGAACUCAAAUACACACGAAAGUUUGAGAAACACCAGCCCAGAGAACAACUCAGCAUUCCUUCCAGAUUUAGAAACGUUACUUUUCUGGUGUUCUUAUUUAAAAAUGGGAAGUUGCACAGCUAAUCAAGGAAGGCUGCUUUGCAGCCCCUGAAUUUUAAACUUCUGGUUGGAGGAGAAAUGGCUUCCUUUUUUCCCACACUUUGAUCUCCAAUGACCACAAUCGGAGGUCCUCAUGGAACAGAGAGAUGACACACAACUCCGUCCAUGGCAGAUGACCUGAAGACAACCCUGAUUCGAAUAUUCUCUUGUCUGCGGUGCUUAGACACGUCAGUCAGCCUCUUCUACUCUGGCCAUCCUGAAUCUUUCUCAAUUGAAUAGCAAGUACUUGCAGCAUCCUAACUAAGUCCACGAGGGAAAAUGGCCGUACCCUGCUGAAGCAGUACCAAAAAGAGGGAACCUCAAGUUCUGUGCUGUCUUCAGGCCGUUUCCCGGAAUUACGACUCUGCCCUUGCUUUGAUUUCACAAGCGGCUCUGGAGGUGUAUUUCCUUGAUUUGCAACUUUCAUUGCUUUUUGUCAUCUUUUUGGCCCUGCACUUGAGAGCCAGUCCCUGGUUUCACCGUCUGCCUCUCCUGGGACACAGCUCAUGCUCAUUCUCUUCAGGGGACUCAAGUACCUUCUGGGCUCCGCUAAGCCCUAACCCUGGUGAGUCAUCUCCUCUGCCUGGUUAGGGACCUUCUGGAUUUUACCCAGUCCCCAGAAUAAGUGGAAUCAGAUGCAUUCUUAAAACGUGAGCUUCUUGGGCUGGCCUAGUGGUUAAGUUUGGCACACUCUGCUUAGGCUGUCCUGGUUCAGUUCCCGGGUGUGGACCUACAGCCCUCAUUGGCUGCCACGCUGUGGCAGUGACCCACAUACAAAAUAGAGGAAGAUGGGCAUAGAUAUUAGCUCAGCGACAAUCUUCCUCAAGCAAAAAGAGGAAGAUUAGCAACAGAUGUUAGCUCAGGGCGAAUCUUCCUCAGCAAAAAAUAAAUAAAUAAAUAAAUAAAAUGUGAGCUUCUUAUGUGAAGAGGUUGAGUCUACUUGUGUGACCCAGAAUCACACAAAUAUUAAAUGCCAAAUAUUAAACGUCUGCUACCUCUUACUAUGUAGAAAGCCUCAGGGGAGAAUCACACCCAUCCUCUCAACUCCAGGUUGUCUACAAAAUCACAGCUUUGCUUGAGCCCCUGUGAGAGCUUCGGGUGCAAGAAAACUAUGUGAGCUGAAUUCCAAACAGAGGAAAGCCCCUUUCAGGAGAGAUGGGAGGCAUAAACUACACCAAACUUAGCAAAGGAGGGAGAAAGGUGGCUGUCAUACCACGGGGAAGAGCAAAGCAGCUGGUUUUAAGGAAUCCUUAAAGGUCAGAUACCGGCCAGUGGAUCAGGUUCAAGUAUUGGAAGGCCUGGGACAUGGGGAAGUUCAGACUCGCUUGCAGGCUCUUUUCUACUGGCCUUCUCGAGGGAGUUUGGGGGUGGGGCAGGAGCCUGGAAGUUGCCCCCUCAGUGGCGCAGGCCUGCAUGAAACAGACACCAAACUCUGUCCUUUCUCCAUUAUCCUUUCCUGCUAGUAAGCGAAAGCCUUGAGCGACUGAGAGAAGGGCAGUGGAGAUCCUCAUCCCAGGACGAAUGCAAAGAUGCAAUGAGCAGGAUGAGGAACAGGGAAACUUCCUCCCACCUGAGACUGACCUCAAAUACAAAGCUGAGUUCAGCCUCCAUGGAAACGAGGAGCAGGAAUGUUUAGAAAACCCGAACUCCAAGGUCCAGACUCACAGGGUUUGCCUAAGCUCAGAACAACAGAACGUCCCUCCUUCCACCACCAGGAGCUCAGCAGGAAUAACAAGCAAUAGCCACCUGUUUCUGUGGGAGGGGCGAGAGCAGGAGAGAGGAGAGCUCUCUGGCACAGGCAUCCAGGAGCGGCUGAGAACAGAAGAUGGAGCGGGAACAUUGAGAACAGCCCCCCAGGGCUUCAGCCCGCUGGAAGCUUACGUGGCCCAUCACUGGAGGGUUUUGAAGCCCGUGGUGCAUUGAAGAAAUAUCCCAGAAACCAAAGGUCGUGGUCCCAGAAGAUGUCCUGAUUCUAGGAAAUAAGUGAAACAUAGAAGUCUGGAGUCAGAACAAUCCCAGUAAAUCUUAAUAAAAGGGUUUAUAUUUUAGCACAAAGCAGACACUUGGAAG
rnacentral:lncRNA from 1 species